rnacentral:rRNA from 1 species
AUUGAACGCUGGCGGCAGGCCUAACACAUGCAAGUCGAACGAGUGGCGGACGGGUGAGUAAUGUCUGGGAAACUGCCUGAUGGAGGGGGAUAACUACUGGAAACGGUAGCUAAUACCGCAUACCAUCGGAUGUGCCCAGAUGGGAUUAGCUAGUAGGUGGGGUAAAGGCUCACCUAGGCGACGAUCCCUAGCUGGUCUGAGAGGAUGACCAGCCACACUGGAACUGAGACACGGUCCAGACUCCUACGGGAGGCAGCAGUGGGGAAUAUUGCACAAUGGGCGCAAGCCUGAUGCAGCCAUGCCGCGUGUAUGAAGAAGGCCUUCGGGUUGUAAAGUACUUUCAGCGGGGAGGCGUUACCCGCAGAAGAAGCACCGGCUAACUCCGUGCCAGCAGCCGCGGUAAUAC